rnacentral:rRNA from 1 species
GAUGAACGCUGGCGGCGUGCUUAACACAUGCCAGUCGAACGGAAAGGCCAGUGCUUGCACUGGUGCUCGAGUGGCGAACGGGUGAGUAACACGUGGGUGAUCUGCCCUGCACUUUGGGAUAAGCCUGGGAAACUGGGUCUAAUACCAGAUAGGACCAUGCUUUGGAUGGUGUGGUGGAAAGUUUUUUCGGUGUGGGAUGAGCUUGCGGCCUAUCAGCUUGUUGGUGGGGUAAUGGCCUACCAAGGCGUCGACGGGUAGCCGGCCUGAGAGGGUGUACGGCCACAUUGGGACUGAGAUACGGCCCAGACUCCUACGGGAGGCAGCAGUGGGGAAUAUUGCACAAUGGGCGCAAGCCUGAUGCAGCGACGCCGCGUGGGGGAUGACGGCCUUCGGGUUGUAAACUCCUUUCGCAACUGACGAAGCUUUUUGUGACGGUAGGUUGAGAAGAAGCACCGGCUAACUACGUG